CUACUACUCCCUCCGUCCGAAAAUACUUGUCAUUGAAAUGGAUGUAUCUAGAUGUAUUUUAAUUCUAGACACAUCCAUUUUGAUGACAAGUAAUUCCGAACGGAGGGAGUAUUAU
rnacentral:pre_miRNA from 1 species